GACGAACGCUGGCGGCGUGCUUAACACAUGCAAGUCGAACGGAAAGGCCCUGCUUUUGUGGGGUGCUCGAGUGGCGAACGGGUGAGUAACACGUGAGUAACCUGCCCUUGACUUUGGGAUAACUUCAGGAAACUGGGGCUAAUACCGGAUAGGAGCUCCUGCUGCAUGGUGGGGGUUGGAAAGUUUCGGCGGUUGGGGAUGGACUCGCGGCUUAUCAGCUUGUUGGUGGGGUAGUGGCUUACCAAGGCUUUGGCGGGUAGCCGGCCUGAGAGGGUGACCGGCCACACUGGGACUGAGAUACGGCCCAGACUCCUACGGGAGGCAGCAGUGGGGAAUAUUGCACAAUGGGCGGAAGCCUGAUGCAGCAACGCCGCGCGCGGGACGACGGCCUUCGGGUUGUAAGCCGCUUUCGCCUGUGACGAAGCGUGAGUGACGGUAAUGGGUAAAGAAGCACCGGCUAACUACGUGCCAGCAGCCGCGGUGAUACGUAGGGUGCGAGCGUUGUCCGGAUUUAUUGGGCGUAAAGGGCUCGUAGGUGGUUGAUCGCGUCGGAAGUGUAAUCUUGGGGCUUAACCCUGAGCGUGCUUUCGAUACGGGUUGACUUGAGGAAGGUAGGGGAGAAUGGAAUUCCUGGUGGAGCGGUGGAAUGCGCAGAUAUCAGGAGGAACACCAGUGGCGAAGGCGGUUCUCUGGGCCUUUCCUGACGCUGAGGAGCGAAAGCGUGGGGAGCGAACAGGCUUAGAUACCCUGGUAGUCCGCGCUGUAAACGGCGGGUACUAGGUGUGGGGUCCAUUCCACGGGUUCCGUGCCGUAGCUAACGCUUUAAGUACCCCGCCUGGGGAGUACGGCCGCAAGGCUAAAGCUCAAAGGAAUUGACGGGGCCCCGCACAAGCGGCGGAGCAUGCGGAUUAAUUCGAUGCAACGCGUAGAACCUUACCUGGGUUUGACAUGGAUCGGGAGCGCUCAGAGAUGGGUGUGCCUCUUUUGGGGUCGGUUCACAGGUGGUGCAUGGCUGUCGUCAGCUCGUGUCGUGAGAUGUUGGGUUAAGUCCCGCAACGAGCGCAACCCUUGUUCACUGUUGCCAGCACGUUAUGGUGGGGACUCAGUGGAGACCGCCGGGGUCAACUCGGAGGAAGGUGGGGAUGACGUCAAGUCAUCAUGCCCCUUAUGUCCAGGGCUUCACGCAUGCUACAAUGGCUGGUACAGAGAGUGGCGAGCCUGUGAGGGUGAGCGAAUCUCGGAAAGCCGGUCUCAGUUCGGAUUGGGGUCUGCAACUCGACCUCAUGAAGUCGGAGUCGCUAGUAAUCGCAGAUCAGCAACGCUGCGGUGAAUACGUUCCCGGGGCU
rnacentral:rRNA from 1 species